rnacentral:rRNA from 1 species
CCCUUAGAUGUUCUGGGCUGCACACGUGCUACACUGGCAGGUUCAGCGAGCUUCAUGCCCUGAUCUGAAAGGAAUGGGAAAUCUUUUCAAAACCUGCCGUGCUUGGGAUAGAUGUUUGCAAUUAUUCAUCUUCAACGAGGAUUGCCUUGUAAGCGCACGUCAUCAGCGUGCAUUGAAUACGACCCUGUAUUCUGUACACACCGCCCGUCGCUCCUACCGAUUGAGUGGUCCGGUGAGGCUUUGGGAUCUGGGCGGAAAGAGCGUUUCGCUGUUUCUGCCCGGAAAACUCAGUCGAACCUUAUCAUUUAGAGGAAGGAGAAGUCGUAACA